rfam:Myotis lucifugus cont2.11105, whole genome shotgun sequence.
GAGACACCCUUCUGGGGCAAGACUUGCUUCAGUGGGGCUUUGGUGCUCACUGAGUCUGCCCCCUGGGUGUGUCCCU